UACGUAGGGUGCAAGCGUUAAUCGGAAUACUGGGCGUAAAGCGUGCGCAGGCGGUGAUGUAAGACAGAUGUGAAAUCCCCGGGCUUAACCUGGGAACUGCAUUGUGACUGCAAGGCUAGAGUGCGGCAGAGGGGGAUGGAAUUCCGCGUGUAGCAGUGAAAUGCGCAGAUAUCAGGAGGAACACCGAUGGCGAAGGCAGGUCUCUGGGGCCU
rnacentral:rRNA from 1 species